rnacentral:rRNA from 1 species
AUUGAACGCUGGCGGCAUGCUUUACACAUGCAAGUCGAACGGCAGCGCGGGCUUCGGCCUGGCUGCGAGUGGCGAACGGGGGAGUAAUGCAUGGGAACGUCCCCAGUAGUGGGUGAUAGCCCGUCGAAAGCCGGAUUAAUACCGCAUACGACCUGAGGGUGUAAGCGGGGGAGCGAAGGGCCUUGCGCUAUUGGAGCGGCGGAUGUCGGAUUAGCUAGUUGGUGGGGUAAAGGCUUACCAAGGCGACGAUCCGUAGCUGGUCUGAGAGGACGAGCAGCCACACUGGGACUGAGACACGGCCCAGACUCCUACGGGAGGCAGCAGUGGGGAAUUUUGGACAAAGGGGGCAACCCUGAUCCAGCCAUGCCGCGUGCGUGAAGAAGGCCUUCGGGUUGUAAACCGCUUUUGUUGGGGAAGAAAUCCUCUGGGCUAAUACCCCGGGGGGAUGACGGUACCGGAAGAAUAAGCACCGGCUAACUACGUG